rnacentral:lncRNA from 1 species
CCUCAUUCUCAUCUGAUUUAAAAUCUCAAUUAUCAAAAUUUAUUCCAAUGCUGACCCAAUCAUCGUCUUCCAUUUGAAUGUCAUAUCCCGCACUUACUACUACUUCCACCAUAAGAGAAGUCAUCAUAGAAGAAGUUAUCAUAAGACUUUGAAUAAUUAGAUAACUAAGGCCAACAGUAUUAGAAUAUUGUUUUACAAACAUGGCCUCAACACCAACGGUUCG